ACUGAGCGUGGUGGUGCAUGCCUGUAAUCUCAGCUUCCAGGGAGGCUGAGGCAGGAGGAUCACAAGUUUGAGGCCAGCCUCAGCAGUUUGGUGAGACUCUGUCUCCA
rnacentral:sRNA from 1 species